rnacentral:tRNA from 1 species
GCCCCCGUAUCCCAAUCGGCAGAGGAAGCGGUCUCAAAAUCCGUCCAGUGUCAGUUCGAGUCUGACCGGGGGCACCA